GACAGAGGGUGCUAGCGUUGUUCGGAAUUACUGGGCGUAAAGGGCGCGUAGGCGGUCUGUUAAGUUCGGUGUGAAAUCCCCUGGCUCAACUGGGGAACUGCGCUGGAAACUGGCAGACUCGAGUACCGGAGAGGAGAGUGGAAUUCCUGGUGUAGCGGUGAAAUGCGCAGAUAUCAGGAGGAACACCAAUUGCGAAGGCAGCUCGCUGGAACGUUACUGACGCUGAGACGCGAAAGCGUGGGGAGCAAACAGG
rnacentral:rRNA from 1 species